UACGUAGGGGGCAAGCGUUGUCCGGAAUCAUUGGGCGUAAAGCGCGUGUAGGCGGCCCGGUAAGUCCGCUGUGAAAGUCGGGGGCUCAACCCUCGGAUGCCGGUGGAUACUGUCGGGCUCGAGUACGGAAGAGGCAAGUGGAAUUCCUGGUGUAGCGGUGAAAUGCGCAGAUAUCAGGAGGAACACCGAUUGCGAAGGCAGCUCGCUGGGACGUGACUGACGCUGAGACGCGAAAGCGUGGGGAGCAAACAGG
rnacentral:rRNA from 1 species